rnacentral:rRNA from 1 species
CCUACGGGUGGCAGCAGUGGGGAAUAUUGGACAAUGGGCGAAAGCCUGAUCCAGCCAUGCCGCGUGUGUGAAGAAGGCCUUCGGGUUGUAAAGCACUUUCAGUGGGGAAGAAAGCCUUGGGGCUAAUACCCUCGAGGAAGGACAUCACCCACAGAAGAAGCACCGGCUAACUCCGUGCCAGCAGCCGCGGUAAUACGGAGGGUGCGAGCGUUAAUCGGAAUUACUGGGCGUAAAGCGCGCGUAGGCGGUCUGAUAAGCCGGUUGUGAAAGCCCCGGGCUCAACCUGGGAACGGCAUCCGGAGCUGUCAGGCUAGAGUGCAGGAGAGGAAGGUAGAAUUCCCGGUGUAGCAGUGAAAUGCGUAGAGAUCGGGAGGAAUCCCAGUGGCGAAGGCGGCCUUCUGGACUGACACUGACGCUGAGGUGCGAAAGCGUGGGUAGCAAACAGGAUUAGAUACCCGAGUAGUC